ACCAAUAACUAUAUGGAGGCUGCAAUGCGUGUCUUGAAAGACAAAAUACUUCAUAGGACAAAAGCAUUCAACCUGCCUCAAUUAUUCAACCUUUUCAUUACCCGACUAGAGAUGUACUAUGAAGCACGUGUGACAGACGUUGCUCUUGGCCAUUGGGAGGCAUUCCACCGGUCAAGAUUUCUUGCUACACAAAGUAAUAUCAAAGCAUCUGAUAUUUCUCAGGUUGGAGAAAAGAAAUUUCAGCUGAAAUGAGGGCUGAGCUGCUGAAAAUAACAAAAGCCUCAGUUUCUCUUGACUUUCUAAACCCUUUACGGCAAAAUAUGCCAACGCCAAGCACAUUAGCUCCAGACAUGCCUCCGAAGCAAGAAACCUGCACUUCUGAUCAUCAGUAUCA